rnacentral:rRNA from 1 species
AGGGAAACCGAGUCUUAACUGGGCGUUAAGUUGCAGGGUAUAGACCCGAAACCCGGUGAUCUAGCCAUGGGCAGGUUGAAGGUUGGGUAACACUAACUGGAGGACCGAACCGACUAAUGUUGAAAAAUUAGCGGAUGACUUGUGGCUGGGGGUGAAAGGCCAAUCAAACCGGGAGAUAGCUGGUUCUCCCCGAAAGCUAUUUAGGUAGCGCCUCGUGAACUCAUCUUCGGGGGUAGAGCACUGUUUCGGCUAGGGGGUCAUCCCGACUUACCAACCCGAUGCAAACUGCGAAUACCGAAGAAUGUUAUCACGGGAGACACACGGCGGGUGCUAACGUCCGUCGUGAAGAGGGAAACAACCCAGACCGCCAGCUAAGGUCCCAAAGUCACAGUUAAGUGGGAAACGAUGUGGGAAGGCUCAGACAGCCAGGAUGUUGGCUUAGAAGCAGCCAUCAUUUAAAGAAAGCGUAAUAGCUCACUGGUCGAGUCGGCCUGCGCGGAAGAUGUAACGGGGCUAAACUGUGCACCGAAGCUGCGGCAGCGACGCUUAUGCGUUGUUGGGUAGGGGAGCGUUCUGUAAGCCUGCGAAGGUGUCCUGUGAGGGAUGCUGGAGGUAUCAGAAGUGCGAAUGCUGACAUAAGUAACGAUAAUGCGGGUGAAAAGCCCGCUCGCCGGAAGACCAAGGGUUCCUGUCCAACGUUAAUCGGGGCAGGGUGAGUCGACCCCUAAGGCGAGGCCGAAAGGCGUAGUCGAUGGGAAACGGGUUAAUAUUCCCGUACUUGGUGUUACUGCGAAGGGGGGACGGAGAAGGCUAUGUUGGCCGGGCGACGGUUGUCCCGGUUUAAGCGUGUAGGUGUGUGUUCCAGGUAAAUCCGGUUCACUUUAACACUGAGGCGUGAUGACGAGGCACUACGGUGCUGAAGCAACAAAUGCCCUGCUUCCAGGAAAAGCCUCUAAGCAUCAGGUAACAUCAAAUCGUACCCCAAACCGACACAGGUGGUCAGGUAGAGAAUACCAAGGCGCUUGAGAGAACUCGGGUGAAGGAACUAGGCAAAAUGGUGCCGUAACUUCGGGAGAAGGCACGCUGACACGUAGGUGAAGUGAUUUACUCA